rnacentral:tRNA from 1 species
AAUGAAAUGCCUGAUUAAAGGGUUACUUUGAUAGAGUAAAUUAUGUAUUUUAGAUACUUUCAUUA